UGGGGAAUAUUGGACAAUGGGCGAAAGCCUGAUCCUGCCAUGCCGCGUGAGUGAUGAAGGCCCUAGGGUUGUAAAGCUCUUUUGUGCGGGAAGAUAAUGACGGUACCGCAAGAAUAAGCCCCGGCUAACUUCGUGCCAGCAGCCGCGGUAAUACGAAGGGGGCUAGCGUUGCUCUGAAUCACUGGGCGUAAAGGGUGCGUAGGCGGGUCUUUAAGUCAGGGGUGAAAUCCUGGAGCUCAACUCCAGAACUGCCUUUGAUACUGAAGAUCUUGAGUUCGGGAGAGGUGAGUGGAACUGCGAGUGUAGAGGUGAAAUUCGUAGAUAUUCGCAAGAACACCAGUGGCGAAGGCGGCUCACUGGCCCGAUACUGACGCUGAGGCACGAAAGCGUGGGGAGCAAACAGG
rnacentral:rRNA from 1 species